UUUCGACCAUAUCAUGCUGAAAGAUCGGUUCUCGUACGAUCACCGAAGUUAAACAACGUCGAGCGUAGUCAGUACCUAGAUGAGUGACCGCUGGGGAAUACCAAGUGCUGUAA